rnacentral:lncRNA from 1 species
GAGGCGCCAAACCUUACAUUACAUUCCCUCCCGGCUGUAGGGCUGGCGGCUAAGGCUGCGCUGCCCGCGGUGAUGGCGAUUCAGACCCAAAUUAGCAAAAUGCGCUAGAGGUUAGCCUGGGCGGAAAGUAAGUAGAGACCAUGCCCAUCGUCGACCGGACUGCGGUCAGCCUCCUUGGCGUCUGAGGUGGGCGUGCUCGGGGCGAACGCCCGCCCCGAGUGGCGUGGACGCGUCCUGGUUCUCGUGCGCCUUUCCCGGCCGGGAGCAGGCCUGUCUCGCCGCCGCCGGGGCCGCGUUCCUUCCGCUGCGUGGGGCUUUAAGGCUCCUCGGCUGGGAAGUGUCAACUUCAGGAGAAAGCGCCCGAAAGCAGUACCCUAGGAAACAGGCGCGCCGACCCAUUCGGAUUCAUCUUUACCUACAAGGUCGCGGGCGGCUUAGUCUGAAUGUGAAACCAUAAAAACUCAGCGUAUUCUCAGCUACUGGGGAGGCGAUCUCGGGGAGCAGGGAGCCAGCGGCGCUGGCCGCAGGGAAGCCUGGAUUCUGAAGCCCGGCCCGUGACUGGGGCCUUGGCUUCAGUUCUACCCCUCGUAGGGCUGGUGGAGGUGGUCACACGUCUGCUAUGGCGUGGCUGUUAGAACAAACUGGAAUAAAAUACUUAGCCCUGA